rnacentral:rRNA from 1 species
UACGGGGGGGGCAAGCGUUGUUCGGAAUUACUGGGCGUAAAGGGCUCGUAGGUGGCCAACUAAGUCGGAUGUGAAAUCCCUCGGCUCAACCGAGGAACUGCAUCCGAUACUGGCGGUCUUGAAUCCGGGAGAGGGAUGUGGAAUUCCAGGUGUAGCGGUGAAAUGCGUAGAUAUCUGGAGGAAUACCGGUGGCGAAGGCGGCAUCCUGGACCGAGAUUGACACUGAUGAGCGAAAGCUAGGGGAGCAAACGGG